rnacentral:lncRNA from 1 species
GCUUUAUUUAACCUUCAUGCCUUCAUUCAGAUAAUUAUACAAAUGCAUACAGUUAAAGGUUUAAACUCUAUUUCGGUUCACAGCUCAAUUCAUAGGAAAGUUGAAUACAGAAAAGCAAUGCACCAACAGAAUAUGUCUGAGACACCAUUAAAAACGAUAACACUUGUUCAUUUAAACCUCUGAGAAUAGACUGGAAUAAUCAUCCUCUGAGAGAAUCUCAUUAGGAGGGUCUCCCUUUACAUUAUCAUAGGGCAAAAAAAAAAAAAAAAAAAAAAAAAUCACAAUUUUACAGUAAAAGGAAAAAAGCUCUGAGUAUAUUUACAAUACAUACACUAUACAUAAAUACAAGAACAACACUUACAUAAUAUUAAUAAACUUAUAACAGGGGUUGCCUAAACACUACAGAGUAUAUAAAUGCAGAGGAAACUAUUGGGAAAUUAGAUCUUUCAUAAGCUGGAGAAAUAAACUCAUUUGCAAUUAAAACUCUGAACAGAAAACCAAAUGAAGACUUAAGAAAUGAACACAUUUUCUUGCCAGCAUCCUGGGUGGGUGGGGGGGAGGGGGGUUAAUCCUUUAAUGCAUAGGACCUCUUCUGGGCAUUGAAAUUCUCUAGGGUCAGAGACCCAGGAGCCUUUUGUCAAAUGACAUCUGUAAAGAGAAUCAGAUGCAGCACAUCUAUUCAAUUUGCUGUUCAGAGGCUUCAAGCCUAGAAUAAACAUUUUGUCAACCAAAGGAUUUUUUUUUUUUGUAUUUUUACACAGCGCUUGUAAUCCAAUCACCAAGUAUAAUGAGCUAAGUGUCAAGGAAAAGGAAAAAGAUGCCUGCUUGAUUUGGCCAAAGAUGAUAUUUUUCUUUAUCCCCAUGUAUUUUCUUCAAAUGCAACCGAGUGAUUUAGUCAAAAGCAUAUGACGUUUUGAAUUGACCCCCACACACCGAGAGCAAUGUCUAGACUACUACUAAUUAUAACUAAGUCAUUUUAAGUGGCAGGUAGGUAUCUUAAACGUGGUCUGUUCUCAUUAUUUCACAACACAGAACGUUCUGAGUACAUUCUUCUAUGGACAAACAUGAAUUUGCUGGUUUCUCCUUUUUUUUUUUUGAAAAAAAAUGAGCAUGUGAUGAUACACAUAAUUGCAUUAUGAUACAGGAUGACAGAGUACAGAAGACAAUGUUUUCAAGCUGGUUUUGUAAGUAGUUAUCUCCCAUCCACAAGGAGGUGGUUUGCCAUGUGAUGCGAUGUGUCCCACACAGACAUGAACGAAACAAUACAACCACCAUUCCGUGGGGGCAGGGGAGCAUGGUGAUUGUAAUAAAGUGGACUUUUAAACACAACAAACUGUAGACAGACACGUUGAUAGGAAAGAGCCUUGACUAUAGGCACCAGUGCCCCAGUUCAACAACACCCAUCCAGUGUAAUCAAGGGUGAGGGACAAAAUAUAUCCUGUCAUCUGGAUGUAAUGACAAAAAUUCUGCUGUGGGCAAACUAGAAACACACGUAGGGCGAAAGCCAUUUCUAUAAUGUAUUAGGCUGUAUCUUAGGAGAAUAAAAUUAGCAGAAAAGAAAGACAUCGGUAUGUCCUUAAAAUAUCUUACUUUUUGAUUUACGUGAGCACUUUGACUAGCAUUUGACCCAAAUUCUACUCUCCGAUUGACCCUCAUUUCUCAACAACAACAACAACAAAAUGAAUCUCUGUGAAAGUCAUGGUAAGCCUGCUUUGGAAAAAAAAGCAAGAUAUAAUACUUCACACAAGGAGUCCCUGGUUCUUGCUUUGCACAAAGGGCCGAUUCUGUUGUCUCAAACAUUUAAAAUUGCUGGGGAUGAAAAUCCAGAAAGAAAAAGUACCGAUGUGACUCUUUCCACCAUUCAUCUCCUUUCAACUCACCGUUGUGGUUUUGCUGUUGAGAAAUUAUUGCUUGCGAAGCCUAAUUAACUAGGGAGAGAGCCCCUUUUCUGCAGUGGGUUGUGCAUAUGGAACAUGCCUUCAGCAUGGAAGGGAAUUUGUUUAUACAGGUUUUAUCUCUUCCCUCAGCCAAGUAACAGGGAGAAAGAUCAUAAUUCAGGAGAUUCAUUUUCAGGAAAAGAAACAUCAAAUGACAUUCUCUUAAUGUUUUCUAAGUCCAUUAGCACUUCCAUGAAUCAAUACUGUCAACAGACCUUGUUCUGCCCAGAAAAGGGGUGGGGGUCAUUUCUCUGAUGCUGGGCAGCAUCCUACCUAAAAUUCAAUUAAACUAACAACAGUUCUAUAACACAUUAUUUAGAAGACUAUUUAAAACAUCCCAAGGUGAGACAUCUGAAAAGGAAUUUUCUCUUCUCUCUUCUUGCUCAUCCUCUGAAUGUUCGUGAUUGCCACACCAUCAGCCAACUGCCAAGAGUGGACUCUGUUAUUAACAGCUAGUUCCACGGAGGUGAACAUUUCAAAUACAACUUAAAUAUCCUCUAGAAGGUCUCUACAGGUGGAAAGGCUCUGAGUCUACCUACAAAGAAACGUGCAGAAUCGAGAAAACCUGCUCUGUCUAAAAUGCUCCCAAGUAGGGCAGGGUUUUGAUGAUUUUUGGAUCUCCAGGCCCAGCAGGAGGCAAGUGACAAGUUCAGGGAGACGUAGGGCUAUUGCUCUUUUGUUUCUAAUGCUCCUUCAUGUAUGACUCUCCAGAAAACUGAUUUCAACUCUCACAUACCACUGCCAAAUCAUGCGCUAUUAUCAAUCACAUGCCUUUUCUUAUCUGGAAAAUGGGAUAACUACACAUCCAUGAUAAAAACUACUUAGAAGAGUUAGAAAUGGAAAGUUGGCUCCUGGGAACACACGUGCAGUGUGCUGUGCUUGAAAGAACAGACACUUCAGAGCCAGCGACUGGAAACUUCCACUCCCACUCUGCCGUUCACCGUAUCUUGUGUGUGCAGACAACUCAGCCGCCCUUUCCAUGCCUCAGUUUCCCACUCGUAACACUUAGAACUGUUAUACGAAUUAGAGGUGGUAUGUCUAAAAAAUUACCUAGUAUCGUGCUUGGCAUAUAGUGUUCACUAAAGAAUAGGUACUAUGUUCAGGGUUUGCUGAAAUUUUGCCCUUUCGAGUUUUUAGAACUUUGCGGACAACUUGCAGAAAACAGCCCAGUCCGAAGACUGGCCUUCAGUGAGAUGAAGGAACUCAGCAGCUUUCCUUUGACACUCAACUGGUUAUUUUACACCUCAUCCUGGCACAUUUCCUUCUUCUCCCUCUUUCCCGAAAUGUGGAGGAGGAACUAGGAGAUGAUGGUUUUCUAGAACUAUGGUCUCGUUCUGGAGAACGUGGUCCAUUGUGGUAGUCUUCACUGUCUCAAGCCUGAGUGUCUAAUCACAGUUAUACUUUCAAAAUUGCUCUUACCAAAUGUUUGGCUCUGGAAGAGUAUAAUUUUACUGACAGCCCUCAAUAGCUUGUUUGGGUGGAUUUGUGCUCUGAGAUGGUGUGGCUGGAACAUUUCCAGGGCUCGUGUCUAUUCAUAUAAUCCUCUUGUAUAUUUCUAUUCACGACUCCACUUAUAGC